rnacentral:tRNA from 1 species
ACUCAUAUAGUUUAAUUUAAAACAUUUUAUUUUCAUUAAAAAAAUGAAUUAUUAUAUUCUGUGAGUA